rnacentral:rRNA from 1 species
AUUGAACGCUGGCGGCAUGCUUUACACAUGCAAGUCGAACGGCAGCGCGGGCUUCGGCCUGGCGGCGAGUGGCGAACGGGUGAGUAAUGCAUCGGAACGUGCCCAGUAGUGGGGGAUAGCGCGGCGAAAGCCGGAUUAAUACCGCAUACGACCUGAGGGUGAAAGCGGGGGACCGCAAGGCCUCGCGCUAUUGGAGCGGCCGAUGUCGGAUUCGCUAGUUGGUGGGGUAAAGGCCUACCAAGGCGACGAUCCGUAGCUGGUCUGAGAGGACGACCAGCCACACUGGGACUGAGACACGGCCCAGACUCCUACGGGAGGCAGCAGUGGGGAAUUUUGGACAAUGGGGGCAACCCUGAUCCAGCCAUGCCGCGUGCGGGAAGAAGGCCUUCGGGUUGUAAACCGCUUUUGUUCGGGAAGAAAUCCUCUGGGCUAAUACCCCGGGGGGAUGACGGUACCGGAAGAAUAAGCACCGGCUAACUACGUG